rnacentral:rRNA from 1 species
AUGCCUCCUUGGGAGCGCUUUCGCGAGCUCUGCCUCCUUCGUUUUGGGCCACCGAUCCGCGGGAGCCGCCAGGCAGAGCUAGGCCGCCUUCCCUUCACCUCCACGGUUCAGGACUUCGCCGACCGUUUCCAGGCCCUGGCAUGCCACAGGUCGGGCGUGACGGUGCAGCAGCGGGCCGACCUCUUUGUCGGUGGACUUCCGGAUCACAUCCGCGUGGACGUGGAGCUUCGGGGACCCCAGGAUCUCCAGACGGCCAUGUACUACGCCCGCGCGUUCGAGCGCCGCGCGGUGGCCAUUCAGCAGGCAUCACCGUCCCGGGCCGCUGGGCCGCUACCUUGGCCGGAUGUUCCCCCGCAGGGUCGGCCUGCUCAGGCUUACGCGGCACGCCCGUUCCGCCGGCUCACCUCGGCCGAGCUACUCGAGCGUCGCCACCAAGGGUUGUGCUUCAACUGCGACGAGCCCUACACGCCCGGCCACGUCUGCUCGCGACUCUUCUACCUGAAGGCUGCAGACUACAUUGAGAAGGACGCCAUCGCCACCGAUCUGGUCGCCCCAGCUGUCGCGAAGGUGUUUGACGCUGGUUGA